GUCCUUAGCUCAGCUGGUAGAGCUUGAGAUUCUUAAUCUCAGGGUCAUGGGUUCGAGCCCCAUGUUGGGCA